GAACUUGGGGCUGACGGUGAAACAAAUCUUUUCUGCUCAAGAAGAUGGGCAUUCACUCACCAAAGCAGAGUGUGGGAUCAGUCGGAGUGGCAGUCCAGCAGGGACAGUGACAAAUGUCCUUUUGCUUGUUUCUGUAUCAAAUGAGAAUACGUGAGUUCCUGUAUGUGAAUUUGGUUGGUUGGUCAGAGGGCAACCUUGGAUGUCAUUCCUCAAGAGCUAUUUUUUUUGAAGUAGGAACUUGGGGUUUAUUGAGUAGGCUAGGUAGGUCAGGGAGGAAACAGAACAUUCUUCUGUCUCUGCUAGUGCUGCGAUGUAAUUGCUAGCACACCAUCAACAGGCACCGAUGUUUAAAAGAAGUUUUACUUAGGUUUUUACACGGGGACUGAGGAUCAAAUUCAGGCUCUUGUGUUUGUACAGCAAAUAUUUUAUUGACUGAGUCAUUUGUCCAACUCUUCCUUCUGGCCCACUUGAGGCAGGGUCUGAUGUAGCCCAGGUUGGCCUCAAACUCCUACACAACCAAGGAUAGCCUUCGGUUUCUGAUCCUCCUGAUUCUACCUCUCUAGUGCUAAGAUCACCAGUGUUGGCUACCACAAUUGAUUUGCUGGGGGAUAAAACUCAGGACUCUCUGAAUGCUGGUUUAGCAUUAUGACAACUGAGCCUGGUAUGCACCCCUGGGAAACUCUACUGUGACUUUGUAGAAGGUCUUUGUUGACCUUGGAUAAGUCAGUUCAUCUUGAUGUUUCUACUGUGAUUCUUUCUCCAGAGUAUGAGCCUCAAACUAGUCAGUCUCCCAUGCUGUCUCCUGUCAAUCAGCUCUCCAGUGGCAUCGUGGGACAGGAGGAGGAGCUAGGAAGAGGGAUUUCUAAACUUCCUUCAAAACAGUUUUGUUCUAUAUAUUGUCAUUUACUCAAAGAUAUGAUGUCCCUAAAGUGAAGUUUUUACUUGUACAACCACUGGGCUUUAUAGUUUUUGUUUUUAAAUUAAUUAGUUAGUUAAUUAAUUAAUUAUUUUCCAGUAUUAGAGGUUGAACACAGGAGCUUGCACAUGCUGGGAAAGCGCUUUGCCACUGAAUUAUUUCUCUAGCCUUUAACAGAUAUUUUCUUUUGAGACAAGGCUUUGCCAAAGUGGUCCAGACAGGAUUUGAAAAUGUUUUCUUUCUACCCCAGUUUCCCAAGUGGAUGGGCCUGCAGUCAGACCCAUUGAUGGAUGGAUAGAUGGAUGGAUUAAUUAAGACAAGGUCUCACAUGUUCAUAUGCAAUCGUACUGGGUUUAUAGAACACAUGCUAGGCAGAUAUUCUGCCAACUAGUCCAUACUCCAUGAAUCUGUCUGUGUGCCACAGUCUGACCUUGAGCCCUAGAUCCUUCUGCCUCUGUUCCUUGGGGUUAUGUACAUGUACUUUCCUCUAGAUUGCCUUCCCAUGUUCAGAGUUAUGUCCCAAAGCCUCUUGUAGUCCCCUACUCUCUGCCUUCUUCUCUUUGUUCUGGGAUAAGUGAGACUCUUGCCUGACUCUGAACCCUGCCAUGGGGAGAGUCAAAGCCUGCCAACUUUGUUAGGAGUUGCUCGAAGUCAUCAUUCUUGCAGGGUUUCCUAAAAGAAGAGAUUCUCUCCCAAACAGAUCUCUGCUUGUGUAGAGUAUGUUGCCUGACUCUUGAAGUUUUGCUUAGGAAGGUGGAAGGGGUGUGUGUGUGUGUGUGUGUGUGUGUGUGUGUGUGUGUGUAUGUGUGUGUAUAUGUGUGUGUGUGAGAAGGGGGGGGAUCCACACCCUGGAGCUGGUUGUUUGGAAGCUAUGCUAAUGAAGUGACCAUCUGCAUAGAUAAUUAUAAGUGGUCUCUCCUGACUGCUCUCCGUGUGCUGACACAGACUGAGAGGAGGUGCCCCUUUGUGACUGCUGCAGCCUGGGGUGGAGAGGCCAGAGAGGAGAUCAUGUGUCCCCCUUCACUCCGAGGCACACAACCUGCUGUGUGGACAGGUGCUGGCAGCGUGGUGUCCAUGGGCAAUGCAGGCUGCGUGCCCUGCAAGCUGACAUCUCUAUCUCUGUCUGUCUGCAUUUAAAACUGACACGACAUAAGGAAUGUCACUUUCUAUUACUCCAUGGUCACAUGUGUGUCCCUGUCGCAGUAAAAGUCCAGUGAACAAAUGUCAUGGUCACAGCUGUCCUCUUACCCCAGCUUGAUGGGACGAACCACUGCAGUGGGGUUGAAGUGACAGCUACCCACGCUGGCUUUGUCUUUUAGUUGUGGUCGCCAUCCGGUGUUUUCUGGAAUGGGAGAAUGGUUGUUCUUAGUGUUUGAUACUUUUGGCCAAGUUCGACCUCACCUUUGCUGAAUAUGGUUGUUGCCUUUGUUAAAUGCAGUUGACAUUUAGAUCUGAUAUUCAUAGACUUUGGUGCAUGACAAAUUUUAUAUGUUGAUUUUCAAAAUAGAUGGUGUUGCUUCAGCAGCCAUAUGUUAGAUCGGCGUGGGUGUAACUUGGGUCUGUACAUGCCCCUUAAUCUUCACUCUGGGAAUAUCCUGGUUUUGACUCUGGCUCCUUGCCAAUUCUUUAUCCUCUGGCACUCUUACCUGCUCUGAGAGAAUCUCUGGCCAGGCAACUUCAGGUCCCAGCGGGCAGGUAUUAGAAAACCCCUGGCUGGGUAGACAAGUACUUCUGGUGUAACUCUGUGUAAUAGAAAACCGCCUUAGGUUUGCUGAGAGAAACUAAAAUCUUCGGAGGAGGAGCCAGUGUUUUACAACUAAGAGAUGAUGACCAUACAUAUAGACACAUACAUUGGAGAGAUUUCCAAUUGUUUUAAAGCAGAUUUUAGGCCACUGCAGGGAAGGGUGUCUGUAUGUAAUAGACCUGAGUUUAUUUGUCUUUUAGAUAAAGCAUAUUUAAUGUUUAAAAGGAGUAUCAAGUAGACAUAAAGGUCUUGCCUUAUUAGUUUUUUAGGCAUUUUAUAAUUCAUCAGUGAAUUUGAAUAAACUUUCUUUGGUUCUGUUUGAUAUUCUCUUAAAAUUAAAAGGUAUUAUUUUAUGUGUUUGGAUGAUUUGCAUGCAGUGCCUACAGAUGCUAGAAAUAGAUGGUAGAUCUCCUGGAACUGGAGUUACAGAUGGUUGUUAGCAAUCUUGUGAGUGCUGGGAACUGAACCCAGGUCCUUUGGAAGAGCAGGAGUCACUCUCAACCACAGAGUCCUAGCCUUGAUAAUUCUUUUCUUAAAAAACAGAAAAUAGGGAAGAAAGCUAUUGCCUAUCACCUACCUGCCAUCUUUUGACCUGUGACUUCUUUAUCACUUAUCAUUCAUUCCCCAGAGUGCAUCAUUAGUAGAAGUUUUCUCUCUGGGUAAAUCCACAUCGCUUUCUGGGAGAACACGUGUCUAUGCAGAGAAGAAUACUUCAUUAAAGAAAAGUACUAAAUUCUCAAUGAGCUGAUUUGUGUUUACUUUGAACUCAGUCUAAAGAACACAUUGACUGUGUGCAUGUGUGUAUGUGUGUAUAUGUGUGUAUGUGUGUGAGCAUGUGCAUGUGUGUACAUGUGUGUAUUUGUGUGUAUGUGUGUAUAUGUGUGUAUGUGUGUGAGCAUGUGCAUGUGUGUACAUGUGUGUGUAUGUGUGUGUAUGUGUGUGUAUAUGUGUGUGAGAGUGUGUGUAUGUGUGUACAUGUAUGUGUAUGUAUGUGCAUGUGUAUAUAUGUGUAUGUAUAUGUGUAUGUAUGUGUGUGUAUGUAUGUGCAUGUCUAUGUGUGUGUAUGUAUAUGUGUAUAUAUGUGUGUGUGUGUGUGUGUGUGUCUGUGUGUGUGUGUAUGUGCAUGCACACUGUGCAUAGUACUCAUGGUCUCCUGUAUGCUAGACAAGCUCUGUACCACUGAACUCUGCAUAUGCCCCUCACAGAGGCAUUUGUUUGCUUUCUAUGUCUCCUUACACUGUUAUUAUUUGGGUCUUCCAAUAAAACUGGAGGAUAAAUUCAUUGUAAUUUUUAGAUUAGGAAUGUAGCUCUGGAGGAUAAAAGAAGGUAGAUUAAAUGAGACAGUGUUUUGCUAUUCCAGGCAUUUAGAAAAAAAUAGAAAAUUAGUGUCAACAUUGUAUUAUUUGCUUCUUAAAUAUUUUGGAAGAAGUCAUAUGGAUUCUUUUUGUAAUGUUUUCAAAUUUUACCUCUUUUUAGAAAAACUCUUUUAAAAUAUUUACUUAAUUUUAAUGUUAUGGUGGAGCUACAUCAAUUUCUCUCUUCCUUCACCUUCUUCCAAACCCUCCCAUAACCUCCUUGCUUUCCUUCAAAUUCAUGGUCUUUUCUUUAAUUGUUCCUAUAUACAUAUAUCUGUGUAUAUAUAAAUAUAUGGAUAUAUGUCCAUAUCUCUCUAUAUCAUCUAUCUCUCUUUCUUCCUUCCUUCCUUUCUUCCUUCCUUCCUUUCUUUCUUCCUUUCUUUCUUUCUAUCAUCUAUCUAUCUAUUUAUCUAUCAUCUAUCUAUCAUCUAUCAUCUAUUUAUCAUCUAUUUAUCUAUCUAUCAUCUAUCUAUCAUCUAUCAUCUAUCUUUCUGUCUGUCAUCUAUAUCUAUAAAUACAUAAGCACAGCCUCCUCCGUCUGUACGAUGUUAUUUGUACGUGUGUUUUCAGGGCUGACCACUUGUUAUGGGAUAACCCAUUGGGGUGCUCUUCUCUCAGUUUCCUGUAACCGUCUGUGAGGUGUGGAAGCUUCGUGGUCUGCCUCCCACCUACUUUCGCAUGUCCAUUGCUGCUGUCCUUGUUCAGCUCAUGGUUAGGUGAUUCUUUUAGUGACACUUUAUGUGUUUAGCUUCUGACGUUGUUGGAAGUCACAACCUCCAUGAGUUUCUGGCUCCCACUAUCCUUCUGCCCCCCUUCCACAACAAUCCUCCAGCCUGAGAUGUUUGUCAGCACUAGGCUCCUUGUACUUGGUUAAGUCUUCUCUAAUAGCCACCAUCUUUGCAAACAAAAGCCCCUUAAGAAGUUUUGUUCAUGUGAAGAUUUUAUACCGUAGGCUAAGUUUUUACUUUUUGUAUAUAGGGUAGUUUGGGUUAUACACUUCUCUUCAAUGGCUUUUAGUAGUUUAAUAUUUUAAGAGUCUCUUCAAUGCUAAUAGUUUUUUGUUCCACUUAAAUUAUAAAUUUAUUAGCAUCAACUUCAUAAUAUUUAUACUCUUUGUGGUAGCUGUAAGAACUGUAGUGAUGUCCUACAGAAAAUACUUAAAAUCCCAUCAUGGUGCUUCCUCCCUGCCUUAGACCAUUUAUGUUCCUGGAAGAAAGACACGCACAGCCUUUAUAUUUUUAAUUAUGCCUUAGGCAGCACAAUAGCAGGGCAGCUGCUGACCCUCCAGGCUGUUAGAAUCUAUCUUCCUAUCGAUAACCCCGUCACCGCUUACCGUGUUUCAUCUGGGCCGCUCUUGGCUCCAAUUAGGCAGCCCUCACAGCCAUGUUGUCUUGGCCCUUGGCCGAUGGCAGCUCUCCUCCUCUCUCCUUCCUUUCUUCAUGGUUCUCUCUCCCAAAGGUUUCGAAACCUCAACUCCACCUAUUUCUCUUCUGCCCAGCUAUUGGCUGUGGCAGAGUCCCAGGGGUUACAUGUAGACAUGGGGGCCCACACAUUACAGUAAAAGACACUCACCAGUGCCCUAUGUCCUAUAAUGGUGACAGUAACUUGUGCCUUCUCCCCUUCAUUUCUCAUCCGUCUGCUAGAGUUUGCCAGUUUGGUUGAUACUUACUUUUGCUUUCUGCUUUUCAUUUCAUUAAUUUCUGUAUGUACACAACACACAGUGCUGUAGUACCUGACUGGGUGAUUGCUGUAGGUGCGCACAAAAGAAUGUACGUUCUGCUAGCACGGAGUGCAAUAUUUUAUGACUGCCAAUCAAGUUAAGGUUCGUAGUAAGUGCUGUUCAAAGAUUCUGCAACUACAUUUUCUGCCCAUCAAUGACUGAGGAGACUGUUGAACUGUCCUGCUGUCCUGUGGAUUUGUCCAUUUUUUUUCCUUUAAUUUCAUCAAUCUGAUAUAUAUUUUGAAGUUCUAUUUUCAGUAUAUAAAUUUGAAAUUGUUGUAUCCUCUUGAUACAUUGACUCCUUCAUAAUAAGAUGUCUCUCAAGAGAUAUUCUAUGUCCUAAAAUCUGCCUUGUCUGAUCAAGAAAUUCUUUUUUGAUAUUUUUAUAAGCAUAAUAUUCCAGCUCUUUACUUAUCAAUAUAUACUUAAUGUAAGGUUUUUGUAGACAGCAUAUAUUUGGAUCUCUCUAUUUUUUUCAAUCUAGCCUGAGACUCUGAUGACUGAACUUCUUACGAAGUGUUUUAAGUAUGUAUUAAUAUAUUCUGUGUAGUUAUCUGUCUGAUGAGUUUAAACCUUUCCUUGGCUACUCGCUUUGUUCUUUACUGCUUUUGUCUUCUGUUUUGUCUACUUUUAGACUUAUUUGCUUUCAUGGCUCCCCUUUAUCCUUACUCUUUGCUCAUUCCUUGCACAUUCCUGUUUUAUUGCUAUUCCUCGUUGCUUUAAACAUCCUUUUUGCUAGUCUCAGAAUCCCUGUUACUUCUUUGUUUCUGUUGAUUGUUUUUCCAACCAUUAUAGAACACAUUUCUCACAGAACACAAAGUUCCUUUGAGACCUCGUUUGUUCAGAUCGAAUAUUUUUAAGGGAAUAUUUAUUAUAUAGUUCCUUGCUAUAUUCUUUUGUUUAAAAAAAACCCAAAUCACAAAAAUUUAUUUUUGCCAAGUGUGCUGGUGAGUUUCAUGACAGACAGAGCCAUAUAGUGAAACAUUUUUACUCAAACAAACACAAAGUAUUCGUUUUAUUUUUAAUUAUGUAUCUUGUGGGGUUUGUGAAGAUGAGUGCAGUUGCUCUUGGAGACCAGAGAUUGGAGUCCUAGUCUUACAGGUGGAGGUACAGGUGGUUAUGGGGACAGAAUUUGGGUUCUCUGUGAGAAGAGUACAUGCUCUUGACUGUUGAGUCGUCUUUCUUAGUCCCUGGAUUUUGUUGUGUUUUUAAAAAUGUCAUCUGAUUUUUAUUCUGGUCCGUGGCUUAUUUAAAUCUGUGGGGUUUUGUUGGCGUUAGUGGGUUUGUUGUUAUUUCCAAUGCUAAAGACUGAACCAGAACCAUUCUUCUGUUAGGCAGGCUCUCUACCACUUAGCUGUGCCUCCGUCCCCGUAGUGGCCCAUUUUGAUGUCCUUUUAAGGUGUGUUAGGAAUGAUCAAAGCCAACCUUUAGUGAAUCUCUAGCUUGAUCUCAUCUUUAUGACAGUAACUAUAUACAUCCCACCCACCAUCUUGUGCUACAGAGUCUUUCUGCUUUGUAUGGUAGCACAGAUGUCCUGUAUCCUAUUGGAACUUUUAAAAUCAAAAAGAAAUUUUUGUUACACGUGCAGUUCAGGACUUCCCCACAAAGACCUGGAAUUACCCCUGUGGCACCGGCCCUCUGCUGUGUCUGUGUCAGCCUUCUUGACUUCUUAGAAUUCUGACCGAGUGCCCUGACAGUCCUUGUGGAUUCUCCUUUCCGGCACAGAGGUCUGAAAACCACCCCAUCCGUUGUCAGUCCCAUCCUCUGUGUAUUCACCGCCCACAAGACCUUUGGUUCAGAGCAAUUGAUACUUUGUUUUGGUUGCUUCUGAAGACAGGAGGAUAGACCAAGUCUCUGCUAGUCCACCGUGAGCAGAAAUCCUGUCUCAUCUGCUAUUCUGUCUUUAAAACAGCGUUUUAGUGGGAAAAUAGCCAGCCCAAAGGAAACUUAAAAGAAUUUUACUGUGUGUUUGUGUGCAAGUGUGUGAGGACACUGGGGAUCAUUCUUCAGGCCCUGUCCAUGUCCACUUCCUUUUCGAUUUUGUUGUGUUUUGUUUUUGUUUGUUUGUUUAGUUACUCACUGGCCUUGGAUCUGCCAAAUAGGAUAGGAUUGGCUGGCCAUCGAGCCUUAGGAAUUUACCUGUCUCUGCCUCCCUACCCCAGGGCUGGGCUCACAAUAGCCUAAACACUGUUCUGCCUGUGGAUUCUGCAGAUUGAACUCAGAUAAGGGAAGCGCUGUCCUGAUCGAGUUACCUACUUAGUCCCGAAAGUCUCUUUUGGUGUACCACACUGGCAAGUUGGAUUCCUUACUUCCAGAGAGGUGAAUGAACCCAUUCCAGAAGCUUCCCAUCGUGAACGACUAGAGCAACAUCCAGGGUGGUGUGCUUUCUCAAUGUACGUGUUGAACUAAGACAGCAGAUAGGAGAGAGCCUUGCUGUGACCCGACAUCCCUGUGUGUGAAUGUAUCUCUGAAUUUCCUAUUUGGAAAUUGAAUACUGAAUUCAUGUCUGAUGAUAUUUAGAGGUCAGGUAUUUCAGAAGUAUUCGAUGAGGUCGUCAGGGUGGGAACCCCACGACAAGGCUGCUGGCUUUCUUAAAAGAAUAAGGCAGACUUGAGGUGACAAGCUUUUGUUCUGCCUGGACAAAGGAUGUCCCCCACUGUAGCGUUGUGUGGCAAGCAGGACCCCAUCAGAGGUCAACUGCAUGUGGGUUUCAUGCCAACAGAACAGAGAGCUAAAUAAAACUCUUUACAACUGACCCUAGACCAUGAUAUCAAUUUCUGCAAUGGAAAAAAAGACCAAAAUACACACAUUUUGGGAAAUGUUUUGAAUCCUGGAAGUAGUGAGGAAAGAGUAGGGAAAUAUUACAAUGUCCUCAGGAUAGACAGGAAGAGGGACCAGGACACAGUUCUUGUCCUGGGCAUGACAGUUGUGCUCCCGUUGUGUAAACUCUUACUGGCCUUUUCAAUGGCUUUCAUAAGGAAAAAACAAGGUAAGAAUAACCCUGAUUCAAGGCAAAUCUCUACGGUAUUUGGUGUGUAAGGGGAGUUGUCUGUUCUUUACAGCAGUGAUUGUUAGUCACGUGUGCUGGGCUAGAUUGAUUGUCAAAUUUGGGGAAGAGAAAGAAUUUUCCUCUGGGGUAUACUGGCAAUUAUUUUUCAGUUGUUUUUGCCCUGCCCUGGAGCAUGAAGCCAAUAUCAUUUUUAGGAUCAGGUGAGUUUAUCCAACAUGAUCAAUUUCCUGUGAUUGUCUGUGGUUGUCACUGGGGGGGGGGGGGGACAGCAACUCUCCUUGAUCACUUAGACACUAAAAGCUGUCACCUGGAAAUUGACCAGGACAUAAAACUCUGGGCCCCAACGACAGCCACAGGAAGAUCAAGAGACGAAUAAGUGGUGGAGAGAGUGGGGGAGCACAAGGCACGUUCCCCUCACUGCUGCCCUUGCAGCAUCCACUAAUGAGGUACGGGGCUGGGUAAGUGGUGUCAGGUCAUAACACAUCAGCCUCGAGAGGUCUCUGGCAGGGCCUGAAGAGUAAUGUGACAUGACAUUAUCCCUGCUACUGAGUGUUGCCUGAUAGGAACCACAGGUGAUAGAGAUGGCCUUUGUCACCACUGAGAGGAGCAACGGGCUUCCUGGUCACCUGUACAGGGAGUGCCAUUUGACACUUCCUUAACUUUGCUGGGUACUUGGCAUAGUGGGUGGAAUAGUCCCUCGAUAGUUUGUGUGGGGGGAGGGGUGGAGGUUUGCAUGUGUGAUCAUGUAUGAAGAAAUCAGAAAGCAUACUUGGGUGCUGUUGCUCAAGAUGGCCAUCCACUACUUUUUUUUUAAAAACUGUUUGGGAAGGAUUAGGAGGGGUGGCCUUGUUGGAGGAAGUGUGUCCUUGGGGGUGAGGUUUCAAAAGUCCAUGCUGUUGCCUGACUCUCUCUCUAUGUGUGUGGCAGUCAGAGGACACUUGUGGGACUCAGGAGUCCAUGCUGUCCUUCCACUACAUCUGUCUCUGGGGUCAAACUUAGGUCAUCAGGCUUGAGAGGCAAACACUAUACACUGAGCUAUCCCACCAGCCCCUUGUAUCUCUAGUUUUAAGAGUAUUUUUUAUCUACUGUUUGUUUCUAUCUUCUGGAUAUUUCUGCUCACUGGUGCUUUCAUUUUUCUUUCCAAUCAAAUGUAAGUCAGCAAACACACUUCAGAACGUCUUACGAGCCUGCUGGGUUUUGUGCUCCUUUACAGUCAUUUUUGCAGACCCUCUUCUACAGAGGUGGGCCUGUGUGUGUGUGUGUGUGUGUGUGUGUGUGUGUGUAGGUAUUUGUGGUAAUCAGAAGAUGCGGGUGCUGGCAACUAAACUUGGGUUCUCUGCAGAGCAGUGCAUUCUUCUAGCCCCUGAGUUUUCUCUGCAGCUCAAGGGUGGUCUUUUAAAAUGCAAGCCAAGAGCUCCUUGGUCACCUGUUCACAAUUCCUGAGACCCUACCAGAUUUCUUGCCUGUGUCUGUAAGGAGUUAUGUAUCCUUAGUCUAUAGUACAUGUCAGAGAUUUCACAGAUGGCCAUUAAACUACUUUGCAGGACAGACUGGAGCUAAAGCAAUGAUGGUGGUGGACAGGGGUCAUGUCUUCAGUGGGAUUACUUGCUAUUUAUACCCUUUGUCCUUUCCUUAAACCUAAAUCCCACUGUUAGGACCCUGGAGACGGACUUGGUGGUGGGGGUGCAGUCACCCGGCUUCUUCAGCUGCUCCUCUGCCUUUCACUAUUGCUUGGUCCUUGAGCUAACCUAGUGGAUGCUGUGGGUGAGCUGCUUGUUAGAUCUGCCAAAGAUCUAAGUAUCCUGGUAACAGUGCCAUUCCAUCCCUGCCAGUCACACUGGUUUUCUUUUUAUUCUCUAAAUAAAUCUAACACAUACACACACACACACACACACACACACACAUAUACACACACACAUACACACAUACACAUGCAUACACACAUACACACACAUACACACACAUGCACAUGCACACACACAAACACACACACACACAGGCACACACAUACACAUGCACAUGCACACACAUACACACAUACACAUGCACACACACAUACACACACAUACACACACAUACACACACAUACACAUACACGUGCACGUGCACACAUACACAUGCACACACACAUACACAUGCACACACACAUACAAACACACACACAAACACAUGCACACACACAUACAAACACACACACAUACACAUGCACACACACAUACACACAUGCACACACAUACACACACAUACACAUGCACAUGCACACACACACACAAACACAUGCACACACAUACACACACAUACACAUGCACACACACACAAACACACACACAUACACAUGCACACACAUACACACAAACACACACAUACACACAUACACACACAUACACACAAACACACACAUUCACACAUACACACACAUAUACAUACACACACACACACACACACCUUUUCUUUUUAUCACAAUGCAGGAGAGUUGAGUAUAAUGGAAGGCAAGACAUAGGCUUUUGACGGUGUUGGGAGUCAUUGGGAAGUUGAAGCUGCUGAUAGCACAUGAACUGGCUUUCAAAAAAUGGAGGUCCUUAGAGCCCUGACAUUAGUGACUUCUCUGGUGAACAUGGUUGCCUCAUGGUAGUGGGAAGGGAGAGAAAGAGAAGGGGGAGAGAGGAAUGUCACUGCAGAUUGUUUUUCUUUUCCUUUUUAAAAAAAUGAACCUUCUUCAGUUCUUUAGAUUUAGUUCUUUAAUUAAAAAUUAAAUGUGCAUCUAAUAGUACAUGCAUAUAAUAUCAGAAUUCAGAAGGCUGAAGCAGGAGGAUUGUGAAUUCAUAUGGUGCGACCCUGUCUCAAAAACAAUAAUAAAAUAAAAUAAUAUUUAAGUGGAUAAAUGUGAUAUUUUGAUAUAUAUGUUUAUAUUAUAGAAAGACUAAGUCAAGGGAAUUGACAUAGUGAUCAUACCCCCUACAUGUUUUUGUGUAGAGAACAUUAAAAAUUGAUUUUUUAGUAAUUUGGAAGUAUGGGGAUUUGAAUGGAAAGGUCCCCAAGGCUCACAAGGAAUGGGACUAUUAGAAAGUGUGGUCUUGUUGGAGAAAGUGUACUACUGGAACUGGGCUUUGAGGUUUCAAACUCAAGCUAGACAAUGUCACCCUCUCUUCCUGCUGCCUGCGGACCAGGAUAUAGAACUCUCUGAUGUGUAUUCAAUAGCAUGUCUGCCUGUGUGCCAUCAUUCUUCCCUCCAGGAUGAUAGUGGACUAAAUCCCUAAUAUAAAAAUUACUGUGGUCAUGAUGCCUUCUCUUUACAGCAAGGCCUGAGUAUACAGUACAACAUUAUUACUAUUGUUACAGUUAUUAUUGUCAUCAUUGCUACUAUUAUUGUCAUUUCAUACAAGACCUUGCUGUAUAUACUGCGCUCACCUAGAACUCACUAUGUAGCCCAAGCUAGUUUCAACAUAUGGGAAUUGUUUUGUUUCAGUCUCUUAAGUUCUGGGAUUACUGGGGUAAGAUAUUAUGCUCAUUACUGAUACAUUGUUUUCAGUGAUGGUUACCACUCUGUAAAUUGGAGCUUCCAGACUGAUUCUGGAGACAGCUCCACUAAGAGGUUUCUCUACUGAUAACAGCCAUGAAGAAGGAGAGUGGAUAACUGGUGGGGCCACGAGACUGUAGUUAAGACAGCAUGCAUCCAUGCUGGUGGGUUAGAGACAGUGCUAUGAUCAAAACCUCCCAGGAGAGCGGAGCAAAGGAAUCGCUCCACAAUGUUCCACACACACUAAGGGUCAGGCUGAAUCAGAAGAGGACAGGACAUCGACAGAAAUGUGGGUGGCUAGCAAGUUUGUUUGGGGCAGACGAUGGAGUGGCCUUCUGAUAGAUUUCAUUGUCUCAAAAACUGGGAGACAAAAUUAGUAAUUAGGAGAGAAGAGAGGAAAAGGGGUGGGAUUGUCUUUGUGGGAAGUGAGGGAGCCAGGCCUCCUGAUGGGGUUCAGGAGCCACUGAGCUUGGGUAAUUAUGAAUCUAAUGUGAGCAUCUGAGCCUGCUCUUCUCUGAACUGGAGGGUCUGCAGACGCUCCUCUAGGCUUCAUUGUAAAUAAAUACCACAGCACUGCGUGAUAGACCCCUGGGCUUCAGUCUGUAUCUCAGUAGUUCUUGAAUUUAGGGGAAUUUUUUUUUUUUUUUUUUUUUUUAGUUUUCUCAGUAUUAGUUUCCUUGUGUGUAAAAUAGAUAUGCCUUCUGCUACUAUUGCUAUUACAUUAUGAGUUGCUUGCCACGGACGCUUGCAUGGGAUCACAGAGAGUGGCUCCAGGCACCUGCUUCUCUCACUGCCAGCUAACUGCUGGCAUCUUAAAGAUAUUGAGGAAUGUGGGAAACUCCUUCUCCCCCUCUCUCCCUCCCUCCCCUUCCUCCCUCCUCUCCCUACCCUUCCUCCCUCCUCUCCCUUCCCUUCCCCUCACAUUUCCUUUCCUCUCAUCCCCUUCUCCCUCUCUCCCUCCCCGACUUUUGGGCACAGUCUCCUGUACAGCUCAGGAUGGCUUUGACCUCUACAUCUUCUUUCUCCUGCCUUGGCCUUCUGAAUGCUGAGAUUAUGGAGUUCACGAUCCUUUGUGAUUUUUAUUAUUUCCCUUUAUGUUGAGACAGAUUUCGCUGAGUAUACCAAAUGCCCGAGAUUUUUCAUUUCAGUUUGGAUUACUGUCUCGUUUGCUUCUUUAUAUUUGUUUCAAAAUCUUUUUUAUAAAAAUCAUUUUAUUGUAAUGAAGUCACCACUCAAAAAAAAACCCAUUGCUUUUAUUAUUGUGUAAUAUUACUUAAUCUGAGUCCCAUGGGUGGGAAGGAGGGCAAGUUAACUAUGUAGAAGGGGGAAUCUCAUAAUAUUUGCAAGCAAGAUAACUAAGCAGCGUAAUCAAAAAAUAAUAAAGGAAAAGAUGAAGAAUGUUUCCGUAGAAAAGUAUUGUUGAGCUGCCAGGAAGGUUAGGUCCUGAGUUAAUACUAAAGCGACUAGAAACCUACGACAAACAAACGAACAACAUAAGGAAAGGUCUCAUUUUAAAACUUCACAGAUACUUGUUUAUUUACUUGUUUACUUAUCUAUUCAUUAGUUUAGGAUAUGUUUUCAAGAUGAGGCUUCUCUGUGUAUACUCCUGGGUGUCUUGUAGACCAGGCUGUCCUCAAACUCAGAGAUUCUGCUCCCUCUGCUUUCAAGUGCUGGGAUUAAAGGCGUGAGCCCCCACUACCUGGAAACAUCACAGAAUUUUAAAUUCGUUAUUUUUGGUGUUUUAUGUUGUUGCUAUUCUUGCGGUAGACGUGCUCUUGCUAUGGCAAAAGGGUUAAAUGAUGAAGAUUAAAAUGAAACUGUCUGACACAGGCACUUUACAUGUCACAACUGGUGACAGAAGGCACCUGAUUAUGCACUGCUUGAUGGAUUAAAGAUCCAAUGGCCGAGGCUGAGAGUUACACUGCAAAGGAAACUUUUAUAAGGGAAAGGAGACCUUAAGAGCAUAGUUUUUGCACAACCCUGCAUUUCUGGUAAGAGUUCAAUAUAUUGGGCCAGAGAGAUGGCUUAGAGUGUGUGAUCGCUAUUCCUCGUUGUCAACCUGAUUCUGUCUGGAAUGAACUACAAUCCAGAAUUGGAAGGCUCACCUGUGAUCCAGAUCUUGAGUCUGGAGACACAAGUUUCUGACCUGGAUCUUGGCAUGGAGAUCUUGAGGCCUAGUGGCCAUGAAAAGCUUAAGCCCAGGCAGGGUAGCACACAUCUUUAAUCCCAGGAGACUGAGGCUAGGAGAUCUCUGAGUUCAAGAUCAGCCUGGGACAAAACAAGUCCCAGAUCUAGGAGUGGUGCACACACCUAUAAUCUGGGCCACACCUUCUGCUGGAGACCUACACAAGGACAUUGGAAGAAGGAAGAUUUACUCUUCCUCUCCUGCUUGCAUUUUUACUUGCCAGCACAUCUGUUGGAAUCUAUUUCCACAGAAGACCAGCUGAAACAACCAGCCUUGUGGGACUGAGCGACUACUACAUCCUUGGAUGCCUCAUUCACAGCUGACUAUUGUUGGGGAGUUGGACUACAGACUAAGUCAUUAUAACAAAUUCCCUUACUAUAUAGAGACUACCCAUACGAUCUGUGACUGCAGAACCCUAAUACAGAGGGUAAAGGCACUUGUCACCAAGCCUGAUGAUCCAAGUUCAAGAAGAGAGCCCACUCCUUCAGGUUGUCCUCUGGCCUCCAUGUGGCACUGUUGCACAUACAUAUGCACACAUUAAUAUAUAUGUAUGUACAUAUAUAAUGAUAAUAUAUACAUAUAUGUGUAUGUAUAUAUGUGUGUGUGUGUGUGUGUGUGUGUGUGUGUGUGUACAUAUACAUAUAGAGUACACACACAUAUUACAGUAACAUUUUAACCUGCUGGAAAUCAAUACAUAAAAGGUAUGUACAAAGGAGAAGGAAAAGAAUUUAGGGACUCUCUGCUUCUGAUCAUAACUGAUUCCAUUGCUAAACUUUAUUAAAAAAUAUCUGAGUAUCCCAUCCAUUCUUAUCAGACCUUGAGAGGCCCAGUGACACAGGCAGCUUUGGUCAGCGUUGUGGCUAGACUGAACAACUAUACAGAAUUCUGGAAACUGAAGUCUUUUGGAAAGAAAGACAAAGCAAUUGCCUGCCUACCUAGUUUGUGGAGGCCGUAUUCAUUCUCUUUCAACCAUAAGACCCCAAAAUGCACAUCAAAUUUCACUGUAAUGUGUAUGACUCAUGUGUUCCUGAAUGAAUUCAAGCCUCAGUCCCACACAUAGACCCAGUGUGAGAGAGUCUGGCCUGGCUCCUCUUGCAAAGCUUGUGCUCAGGAGCCUCUGACUAUGACUUGAGCAUGUAGCUGGUAAUAGCUCUUGAGACUAGACAACCGGGACUCCUCAAACAGCAUGGUGUGUAUGUCAGGGAGUGAUGUAGCCUGGGCCAGUUUCCUGCCCUUCUGGAGUUAUUAUUAUAGAUGUUCCAUUUUAACUAUCUGCAGAAGAAUUCUUCAGAGGCUGUGGAGAUGGCUCAGUGGUAAAGUGUUUGACACACAAGCACAAGAAAUGUGAGUUCUGAUUCUCAGAACCCAAUAAAGCUGAAUGCUGCAGAGCAGGUAUGUAAUCCCAAUGCCCUUCCAGCAGGAUGAAGGGCAGCCCGGAGAGUCUCCAGGGUGGGAUAGCCUGGCUCGUGCAUCAGCAAACAUCACGUUACCCUGCCUCAAGGUGCAACGUGAAGACUGACACCGAGGUUGUCCUUUAAACUCACACACACACACACACACACACACACACACACACACACACACACACUGUAGCACACAACUGUCUACUCAUACCUAAACAUGCAUGCACCCACAGAACAUUUUUAAAAUCCUUCUUUUUAGGGCUAUCUUGUUAUUAGUAGUAUCUGAAUUUUUUAAAAUUAAUUACAUAAUUUCUCCCUUCUCUUUUUCCCCUCUAAGCUGUCCCGUCUACCCCUCCUAGCCAGCUCUCUUUCAAACUCAUGGCUUCUCUUUUUUAAAUUGUUGUUGCACACAGUGUGCGCACAUGUGUAUGUCUCCACGUGUGCACAUGCAUACUUCUAAACAUGUAAAUGUGAGCACAGCUUGCUCGGUCUGAGUGAUGUUAUUUCUGUGGACACGUGUUCAGAGCUGACCGCUGGCUGGUGGAUACUCAGUUAUUGCGCUCGUCCCCACUUCUCCAGCUCUCAGCUUUUCUUGGUUGCUUGCAGCUCCUUGUCUACAGCUGAGGGCGCAUAAGUGUUCCCCUGUCCACCGUGUUGCCCUUGUCCAGGUCGUGCUUAGGUAGCCAUGUUGAUGAGCAAUUUCAUGAGUGUAGCUUCUGCCAUUUUUAGGAGACACAAUUCCACAGCGAAUUCUGUCCCUCUGACUCUUGGAAUCGUUCUGCCGCUCUUCUGAAAUGGUCCCUUAUAUGUGAGAGUUGUGUUGUGGGUGUAAUUGUUGCAAUUGUCUACAACUCUGCUUUUUGCUUGUGCUAUUAUUAUUUUUGACCACACUUGGCAUUGAACCUAGGCCUUUGCACAUACUAAUCAAAUCUUCUAACAAUUGAGUUGUCUUCUCAGCCUGCCCAUUCUAACUCCAGUAUAGAGCCUCAAUCUGGUAUCUGGGUCUCUGGGGCAGAUUUCUCCACUGAUCUCUGACCAAGGUUUCCUUUAACUCUGCUCUAUGAGCCCCGGGCUGAUGUCUGAAAGUUGACAGCUGUCUACAGACUUCCUGACUACUAGACUGAUGUCCUUCUUCACUCCUGUGAUGGUGUCCUGACCCUUUGGAUUCAGGGUGGAGUUAAUACAGGAAAUUGGUUACCAAGAAACUCAAAGGUUGAAGGAAAGCAAGACACAACAAAGAAAAGACAGAUCACCCAUGGCUGAGAGCAGUGACCUCACCAGAGUCUGGGGGACAGAAGGGAGUUGCCCGAGCUGCCAAAGCCCAAGAAAUCAGAGCCUUAAAGGACACUCGAAGAACAUUAAAAUGCUGUGACCACUUCUAAGCAGAGACUACGGUGCCUGGCAGAGUUCUUAGAAUUUAGUGGAUUUUCAACAUAGGCUUAUAUUUAACGAAUUAAUAAUGAAAGGCUUGAUUCUUCUGACAUCUUCCUUUAUGGUAAAGACAGUGAAUGGAAAAUCAGAGCUGAAGAAGAGGAGAUGCUUUUCAACGGACCUCUCAUUUGAAGUCCAGUGAGCACACAAUCAAGCGUUGGUCUUGCCAUCUCCGUUUCCGAGACUUGCCAGGUAUUUCCUGGGCUGUCAGCUGUUAGCUGGAGUGUGUGCAGGGUUCUGAGAGGUAUGGAGCCACAGGGAGCUGCAGUUUUAGCUCCUAGCUAUACUCGGCACCUCAGUUCCCAUGAAGAAUCAGCCUUCUCUCCUCCUGCUGGGAACCCCUCCUGGUGAGGGAUCCUGGGGGUGGCAGCCAUCUUCCCACAGCCUGUCACUGAGAGGAAAGAAUGGCACUGGGUCCAGUGUAACUGGAGGAUGUGACAACUGGAAGGACACAUGAGUGAUGGAGAAAUGUCUUUGUAAUCAGAACUAUUCGUUGGCCCUCAGCAUCUCCUAUCCAUUCCACUACGCAGACGGGGAGACUGAGUCAGUGGUGACUGGGAGAUCUGCACUGGCUCAGUCAGAAGCAAGACCAGACUGUUUCCAAGCUCUGAGCUGAAAGUGUCUGUGCUAGCUUUAUGCAGUUGCUGACCCGUUCCCGCUGGUGGGCACUUUGAUAAAUCAUUUCAAUUAGAAACAGAUGUUAUCAUGCUACACACAGAGAUGUAUCUUCCCAAGGUUCCAAACCAGCGAUGUUGCUAUUUAUGACUUCCAGUCGGUGUGUGGUCAGUGCUGGCCUAACCUCACACACGAACAAAUAAGCACACGGCAACGUUAGCUUUGGUGUUUCAGGAGAGCCGAGUAUAGAGUUGUGUGUCCUCCCUAGACAUAAGAUUAAUCUUGUUUGGGAAAUGGGCAGGGGAAAUAAGAGUUUGGGUUUUUGUGCAAAACAUCCAGCAAAUAACACAACAAAGGAGACUGUAGGAAUCUCUGUCUGGGAGGUAAUCACUGAAACAGCCUUCCUCACUCCAUGACACCUGGUUGAAACCAUCAUAGUUUGAGGACCUAAACUUGCAUGAAGAGGCAGUCCCAUGUCAUUUCUCCCGUAUUUAAUAUUCAUAUGGCUUUUGUUUUCUGAUAAUGACUCCCACUUAGCAAUAAAAUUAAUAUAUGCAAA